AGUGAACGCUGGCGGUAGGCCUAACACAUGCAAGUCGAACGGCAGCACAGAGGAGCUUGCUCCUUGGGUGGCGAGUGGCGGACGGGUGAGGAAUACAUCGGAAUCUACUCUGUCGUGGGGGAUAACGUAGGGAAACUUACGCUAAUACCGCAUACGACCUACGGGUGAAAGCAGGGGAUCUUCGGACCUUGCGCGAUUGAAUGAGCCGAUGUCGGAUUAGCUAGUUGGCGGGGUAAAGGCACACCAAGGCGACGAUCCUGAGCUGGUCUGAAAGGAUGAUCAUCCACACUGGAACUGAGACACGGUCCAGACUCCUACGGGAGGCAGCAGUGGGGAAUAUUGGACAAUGGGCGCAAGCCUGAUCCAGCCAUACCGCGUGGGUGAAGAAGGCCUUCGGGUUGUAAAGCCCUUUUGUUGGGAAAGAAAUCCAUCUGGUUAAUACCCGGGUGGGAUGACGGUACCCAAAGAAUAAGCACCGGCUAACUUCGUGCCAGCAGCCGCAGUAA
rnacentral:rRNA from 1 species